AUGUUUCAUGUGCACUAGAAAAGAAAUUAUAGUUUGCAGCUGUUGUGUGGAGUGUUCUGUAUAAGUCUAUGAAGUGAAGUUGUUUAAUUGUAGCACUUAGAUCUUCCGUGUCUCUAUUGAGCUUCUUACUGCAUUUCCUAUCCUUCACCGAGAGUGUUGUGUUGAAGUCUCCUGCUAUAAUUGUGGAGGUGUCUAUCUCACUUUUUAAUUCUGUUAACAUUUGUUUUAUGAAUGUUGUGGCCCUAUCAUUGGGUGCAUAAAUAUUUAAUACAGUUAUAUGUACCUGGUAAAUUGUCCCUUUAAUCUUUAUGUAGUGUCCUUCUUUAUCCUUUGUGGUGGAUUUAAUUUGAAACUCUAUUUUGUUGGAAAUUAAUAUUGCCUCUCCUGCUCUUUUUUGAUUGUUGUUUGCUUGAUAUAUUUUUAUCCAUCCUUUCAGUUUUGGUUUAUUUGUGUCUCUUAACUCUAAAGCGUGUCUCUUUUAGGAAGCAUACAGACUGAUCGUGUUUUUUUAUCCAGUCUGCAACUUUCUGUCUCUUUAUUGGUGAAUUUAGUCCAUUUACAUUAAGUGUAAUUAUAGACAAGUAUGAGUUUAGUGCUGUCAUUUUGAUACCUGUUUUUGACAAUUUCAUUUUCCAUUUACUUUUUUGUGCUGAGUUUUUCUUUGUAGAAUGUGUGUUCCUCCUUUUUAUAGUAGUUGAAUUUAUUUUGGUGAGUCGUUAUGUUUAUCUUGGUUUUUAUUUUGAAGUAUGGAAUUGUUAGACCUUGUUGUGGUUACCUUAAUAUUUACCCUGGUUUGAGUAAGUAAAAACCUAAGUUGUUUCGCCCUGUAUCGCCUUGGUUUCCUCUCCAUAUGUAAUUUCUAAGCCUCCUGUAUUUAGUCCCUCUUUUUUCACUAUCGUAAUCUUUUAUAUAAUCACAUCAAUGAUUCCCUGUUUUGAGCAAUUUUUUAAUUAAUCUUAUUUUGUUUUUGUGAUUUCCCUAUCUGGGUUGAUAUCAGGAUGUUUUGUUCUGUGACCUUGUGUUGUGUUGGUAUCUGAUAUUAUUGAUUUUCUGACCAAAGAAUUUCCUUCAGUAAUUCUUGCAGUUUUGGUUUGGUUUUUGCAAAUUCUCUAAGCUUGUGUUUAUCUGUAAAUAUCUUAAUUUCACCUUCAUGUUUUAGAAUUUUGCUGGAUAUAUGAUUGUUCGCUGACAGUUUUUCCUCUUUCAGUGCUCUAUAUAUGUUAUCCCAUUGUCUUCUUGCCUGCAUGAUUUCUGCCGAGUAGUGCAAACUUAUUGAUUCUCCUUUGUAGGUAACUUUUUUUUUAUCCUUGGGUGCUUUUGAAAUUUCUCUUUAUCUUUGGUUUUGGCAGGUUUGAUGAUAUGUCUUGGUGAUUUUCUUUUGGGAUCUAUUUUGUAUGAGGUUCGGUGAGCAUCUUGGGUAGAUAUCUUUUCAUCUUUUACAAUGCCAGGGAAUUUUUCUGCCAUCAGAUCUUCCACUGUUCUCUCUGUAUUUUCUGUUAUCCCUCCCUGUUCUGGAACUCGAAUCACACGCAAAUUAUUCUUGAUAGAGUACCCCAUGAUUCUUAGGGUUUCUUCAUAGUUUUAAAUUCUAUUUGAUUUUUCUUCAACUAUAUUUGUGUCAAUUGUCUUAUCCUCCAGCUCCCCCACUCUGCAUUCCAGUUCCUCUAUUCUGCUCCUGUGACUUCCUAUUGAGUUGUCUGAAUCUGUGACUUUAUUGUUAAUCUUUUGGAUUUCUGAAUGCUGUCUCUCUAUGGAUUCUUACAGCUUAUUAAUUUUUUCACUAUGUUGUUGAAUAAUCUUUUGGAUAUCUUCAACUGCUUUAUCCGCGUAUUCCUUGGUGUUUUCUGUAGAUUGCCUUAUUUCAUUUGUGAGGUCAUUCCUGAUGUCUUGAAGCAUUCUGUAUAUAAUUUUUUUAUAUUCUACAUUUGGCAAUUCUAGGAAUGUAUCUACAUCUGGGAAUGAUUUUGAUUCUUUGAUUUGGGGGUUUGUAGAAGGAAUCAUGGUCUGCUUCUUCAUGUGAUUUGAUGUCGACUGCUGUCUCUGAGCCAUUUAUAAGAUAUUGUAAUAUUUUAUAUUUGCUCACUGAGUCUUAUCUUCUUAUUUUGUUUUGUUACAGUACACCCAGAUGGGCUACUAGAUUGUGGUAUCGUGAUUGAUGUAGCUUUUGAAUCACUUACGUCCUGUUACCAGCUUGCCUGAGCUGUUACCAGGUAUAUAAGUGUAUGAGUCCAUUCACUAUUCUUGAAUAGAAUCAGCUCAGGUGUCCUGAUAGCUGGUCACCUAGUGUGUGGUGUAGGCUCUCACCUAUUAUCUUAGAGGAGUAGUGGUGAUGGUUGUAUGCACCAGUUUCUAUUAGUGGCAGGGGGUCACAUUUCGAGGAGGGCAGGAUGCUGACAGCCUUCCUUCAAGUGUCAGUGAGGUAGGUGUGGCUCUAUUCUCUAGAGCACUCUGGUGGGUGGGCUUUGCAGCUGUAUCUUAGGCACCCAAUGCUUGGGUAGGCGUCACUAUUCUCAGACCCCUCUAGCAGGUGGCUAGGUGAUGUGGGUGGAGUCUCAGCCCUCAGUUCGCUGGUGUGGAUCAGCGAGGGCUCUGUUUAGUAGGUAGAGAGGUAUCUGACCUCCAAAACUUGCCUUUCCACUGCUGAGCUAAAACAAUUAUGGUCAGAUCUCUAUCAGAAUUGCCUUUACAUUGUAAUAGCCACCUAGUUACCUGUAGGGUGAAAGCCAAAGACUAUGGGUCUGUUAAUGCCUGGAUGGAGCUGAUUCUGUACUGUUAUUUCAGUUUAGGGAAGUCAGGGAAGGAUUUUUUCUUUGAUUGUUAAAUGCUGCUUUUCUCAGGCCAGGAGAAUGGGUUAGAAAAGAAAGAAGAAAAAAAUUCAGCAGUGCACUUCACUCUCUGGCACAGAGGAUUCCAAUGUUAAUGAAGCUGGCUGGGGCAAUGAGGGGUGGAAUCAGAUAUAUAGAAGAGAGUAGCCUGGCAAAACAUACAAAGUUACUUAUGUUGUUUGGUGAGAACUGUUUUUUCUGAGAUUCCAGAGCAUUGUGUCGCUCGUGUGUGCUGGCUGGAUCCCUGCUGAGACUGUCCCAGAGGGUUAGGGCUGCAUCCAUGCUCACACUGUCUCAAGAAGCCACAAUCGGCUCCCCCACAUUUAGUCCAAAGCCCAGCACCAAGGUUUCCUUUCUGGGACGCUGCACUCCAGGCUCCAAAACCAGUCGCUGCUUCCCUAUAGUUUUUCGUUUCCCUGUCAGCCGCGUCUGUGUGGAGCCUGCGUGUGCUGCCUGGGUCCCCUCUGAGGUUGGUCCUGAGGGUUAGGCCUAUAUCUGUUCUUCCCUGUCUCAGUAAACCACAAUCAGCCCCACCACUCUGACACCAGGAAACCGCGAGGGCUCAAGGCUGCGGCGUGGGACACUGGCUCCGGAAGCAGUCCCUGCUGCAGCGUGGCUUUCGCUCCCCCGUCACUCAGGUCAACUCCUUAGUUCUGUGUUUGAUGGUCAGGGUUUGUAGAUUGUCCUUUAUGUAAUCAGUUCACUUGUUUUUUCGAGUCUUUGUUUCAAGAAGGAUAAGCGGAAUCUUCUACCUAGUCAGCCAUCUUGGUCCUGCCCCCGUGUCUGCCUCUUUAUGUGAUUUGAUAUUGACUGUUGUCUCUGAGCCAUCUAUAAGUUAUUGUAUUAGUUUAUUUUAUGCUUGCUUUUUGUAUCCUAGAUUCUUGCUUUGUUUAGUUUUGGUAUUCCCAAAUAAGCUGCUUGAGUGCACUAGGUUGAUUAUUUUCACCUUUGAAGCUCUAAUGUACUAUCACCAGAUGGCUAGCACUGUUACCAGGCAUAUGAGCCUAGGAGUUCAUUUACUUUUCUUGUAUGGAUUCAACUCAGGUGCCCAGGUAGUUGGUCAUAAAGUGUAAGGUACAGGCUCUGUCCUACAGUCUUAGAGGGGCAGGGGUUAUUGGUGUAGGCAGAAGUAUCUGGCUGCAGUAGGGGGUCCGAGUCUGAUCAAGGCAGGGGUCUGACAGCUGUGCUCUGAGUGUCUGUGAGGAAAGUGCAUCCCUGUUCUGUAGAGCACACGGGUGGGUUCUGCAGAAGGGCGAUGGGUACCCAAUGCUUUUGGUUGUAAGUUCUGGGCGGUACUACUUAUCCUUGGAGCCCUGUCACAGGUGGCCAGGUAUUGUGGGUGGAGCCAGCAGUCCUUAGGCCCCUGAUGUGGGUAGGUGAAGACCCUGUUUAAUAGGCAAAGCAGUGUCAAACAUCAAACACCCAUCUUUCCACCGUUCAGCUGAAACAGUUGCAGUCUGGCAACAAGGGCGUAUUCUCCUGAAAUGGGCCCACACAGGUCCAUGCUGGGGUGAAAGGUAUUCAAAGCCCAUGGACCGUUUGUGCCUGAACAAGAGCUACUUCUGUCCUGAGCUCCCCAGCUUAAUUGAGCUGGCAGAUUAUCUUUCCCUCAGUUGUGAACUUAUACCUUCUUCAAGGAUGGAGAAAUGGCUCAGAGUGGUACCAGGGCCUAUCUCAGGCCCAGGGAAGUUGACAGCCACUGAAGCCGGCUUGGGGGCUGGGGGCGUGGUAAAAUAAACACAAGUAAUUAGCUUUUGCCGAGAGUGCCGUUCUUCUCUUGUUCUGGAGGUGUGAGUAGUCUGUGCAACUUGCUGUCCUUCCCUGAGCUAAACGCCUGUGGAACGCCACUGCCAGCCCCACUGCAGUCGCUCCAGGGAACGGUGCCUGAGGGUUCCUGGCUGUUCAGGUCCAGUAACUCCUCUCCACUUCUGAAUAGUCUCUCCCUCCCCCUGCCGCUCAGUCCGUUUUCUAACUUUACCUUUGAUGUUCAGGGCUCCUAGCUUGUCAUAAAUAUAAUCGCUUCACUUGUUUUUUCUGGUCUUUUUUGUAAGAGGGAUCACUGGUGGCGUCUCAAUACUCAAAACUUGAUCAUUUCUUCCUUUCACUUUAGCUACUCGACAUUCAAGAGCAACGUUCAGAGUCUCUUCCGACAUCCGUUUUGGUCUUUUCUUUCUUUCCUGUCUUUUAAAGGAUCUCUUGCUUUCCUCAUGUGUGAUGUCCUUGAUGUCAUUCCACAACUCGUCUGGUCUUCAGUCAUUAGUGUUCAACACGUAAAAUGUGUUCUUGAGGUGGUCUCUAAAUACAGGUGAGAUAUACUCAAGGUCAUACUUUGGCCCUUUUUGACUUAUUCUACUUUUCUUCAGUUUCAACUUGAACUUCCAUGUGAGCAAUUGACAGUCUGUUUCACAAUCGAUCCCUGGCCUUGUUCCGACUGAUGAUAUGAGUUUUCCCAUCUUCUCUUUCCACAGAUGUAGUCAGUUUGAUUCCUGUGUAUUCCAUCUGGUAAAGUCCACGUGUAUAGUUGCCGUUUAUGUUGGUGAAAAAAAAUAUUUGCAGUGGAUGAGUCACUGGUCUUGCAAAAUUCUUUCAUGAGAUUUCUGGCGUCAUUUAUUUCAGCGAUGCUGUAUUUUCCAACUACUUUUCCUUCUUUGUUUCCAACUUUAACAUUCUAAUCACCAGUAAUUAUCAAUGCAUCUUGAUUGCAUGUUUGAUCAAUUUCAGGCUGCAGAAGUUGUUUAAAAUCUUCAAUUUCUUUAUCUUUGGCAUUAGUGGUUGGUGCAUAAAUUUGAAUAGUCAUAUAAACUAGUCUUUCUUGUAAGUGUAUGGAUUUUAGCCUAUCAGUGACAACAUUGUACUUCAGGCUAGAUCUUGAAAUGUUCUCUUUGAUGAUAUGUAACAUCAUUCUUUUGACUCUGGUGGAAUAUCCGUGUUUGUAAGACUGCUCACAGACUGUUUCACCAGAGAGUUUUCUGGUACUGCAACAUCUACCACUAAUGUCUGUGAUCCCUUUAAAUUGGCAAAAUAAGAAUAGUGCUAUAGAUUUCUUCCAAAUACAGAAAACAUAAGUAUGAAAAUGUUCUUGCUGUUGAUUAUAUUCUUUACCAAUCUGUUUGUAUGGGAUUUUUGGUACUUCACUUGAAAAAUGAGUCCAAGGUACUGUGAUGUGAUUGUUUACUUUGUGUGGCCUUUCUAGCCAUGGUCUUAUAACAUCCACCCUGGUGCUUGGGCAGGACUGUGUGAUAGGGUAAUUGUGGCUCACCAAGGGGAUUGUUUAUUUUCCCUUCAAAGAGAACCAGUUCCAGAGCAAAGAGGAGGAUUCAACUCCCAUCAAGGAAGAACAGCCAAGAGCCGAGCGUAUAUUAUGGACCUGAGAUCCCUGCACUGAGAAGCUCCUAGAAGCAGGAGACUGAGAUAGAGAGAGGAAGCUGUAACCCUGAAGAUGCUUAAAUACAGACCAGAAGAGGAGUUUGGGGCUUGACACCUGACAUCUUAACACCAGUUCCUGUUUCUUGAGGAAGGAAGAGGUAAAAUAAAUCAGCGUUUACUGUUUCCUUCUCCAUCCCCGGAAGUCCUGAUGAAGACCCUCUCAGCUUCAACUUGAACGUGAAUAUGAGCAACUGAUCAUCUGUUCUGCAGUCAGCCCCUGGCCUGAUUCUGACUCAUGAUAUUGACCAAGUGAAGAGUGAUUCAGAGAAAAACAUGGGUAGAGUGUGACCUAAUUUCCAUAAAAACAAACAAAUGAAUGUACUUACAUGUGUCCCGGCAAAAAGAAGUGUGUAAAAGGGUACAUAUGUAUCUUUGGACACUGGACACUUCAGGGGAGCAGGUACAAUAUACUUAUGUGGGGAUGGCUCUUAUUAUAACUUCUAUAUACAAAUCUCUAUUGUUAAAUGUGUUAUAAGAAUGUAAAAGCUUUUAAAGUUUAAUAACAUCAUACAUGUAUGUGUGUGUAUUUGAAACUUUUUUUCUUUUGACUAUUUCAUAUAUGUGUUUUUUAGUUAUCUAGUUUUUUUUUUAGUGUGGCUAUAGCAGAGAUACCACAAGUGGAUGCCUUUAACAAACAGAAACUUAUUCUCUCACAGUUUAAGAAGCAACAAGUUUGAAGUCAGGGCACCAGGUCUAGGAGAAAGCUUUCUCUCUUUGUGGCUCUGGGGGAAGGUCCUUGUCAUCUAUCUUCCCCUGGCCUAGGAAAUUCUCAGCGCGUGGACACUGGGUCAAAAAGACGUGCUCCACUCCAGGCACUUCUUCCUUGGUGGUAUGAGGUCCCUCUCAUUUCUGCUGACUCUUCUCUUUGUAUCUCAAAAGAGACUGACUCAAGACUCACCCUAAUCCUGUAGAUUGUGUCCUCCCUCAUUAACCUAACUGCCUCUAAUCCCGCCUUAUUAACAUCACAGAGGUUAGAAUUUACAACACAUAAGUAAUCACAUCAGAUCACAAAAUGCAGGACAACCACACAAUACUGGGAAUCAUGGUCUGGCCAGGUUGACACACAUUUUGGGGGACACUAUUCAAUCCAUAACAAUAGAGAAAACACUGUCUUCAAUGCCAGAUUCAGAGACUUUUAUCAAUCUAUGAAGGGCAAACACAGAUAUUGAACAAAAUUCAGACCAGCGAAUUAUUGCUUGCUCUUGUAACUAAUGACUUCUUCUGGUCUCUGUACCUGGAAAUGGCCAAAAAGAAUUCUGUGAGGAUUAAUUCAGUUAUUGCUAAAACAUCUACUGCAUUUACAUGUCUACAGAUAAGGAAGAAUGCUGGACACCAUGUGUGAUUCAUUAAGUAACACAGGGACUAUUAGACUGUUGUUUUCCUUCUCUGAUAUGCCACUAUCACCUUCUCCCCUUGUUGCUCUCCUGAAAAACCCACACUUGUAUAUUCUAGGCUUUUUUCCAGGAUUGAAUUUGCAGGAAGUUGAAGAUAUAUCUUUGAAAGAUAAAAAAGACUUUGGCCACAUUGUCUUUAGACAGUCGAACUUCCCAGCCAGCCUCUGUGCAGGAUGGGAAUUCACAAUCCCUCCUACUCAGUACCUCUGAGCAGGACGGGAUUUCUGUUUCAUUAUCAGGAGACUGUGGAAUUCACCCCUCUUCAGAAAACUUACUUUCCUUUGCCUCAAACUGUCCCUCUCAGGAUCUGUCACGGUCACUCUGAGAAAUUCACAUGGGCAGCCUGUAUGGAAGUGCCCAUCCUAGAGUCCCUGCCCUUCCUUCCUUGCUCCGUAGGGCUUCCUCUGACACUUGGGGUCACAUCUCCCAGGGAGUACACACCUCUGGCACUUCCAGGGAUUCCCAGGCCCUGGGAUACUGUGAUGGGACUUGGAACUCAAUCUCUUUCUUCCCAUCCUCACCUUUGGUUAUCUGUGUUCUGUCUUCACCAGAUUUAGGAGGCCUUGUCUUCUCUUUGCUCAUUUCAUUUCAGUCAGGCUUUUCUAUUCCAACUCUCUGAUCUCAGGACAGAUCAGGUUAGACCACAGAAAAGAGAAAGACCAAGCAAACAUCACUGAUCUGUGCAGAAGCUGCUGGGAAGGGAUUCGAUUCUCAUUGGUUUAGGGUUUUAAGCCCACUGCUCACCGGCAGGCAGGUUCCCUCCAGAGUCUGGCUUCUGUCUGGUACCUUGUACUACAAAGAACUCAGUGACCAGCCCACCUUCACAGUCACACCUCCCUUAGAGCUAUCUUUGCAGAGGCUCUUUCUCAGACUUCCAUGUCCCACUGAAAUCCCAUUUCUCUUUCCUUACAAACAUUAUGCUCAUUCUCAGGGCCCUGAGACCUCAACUGCAGGUGAGUCUUGUCCUCUUCUCUCCUUGGCGGGGGGAGCUUUGGAGUGGACCUCAUGUCUUUGGACAGCUAUCCUGGGCCUUCUUCCACCUUGGUGCUCUAGGGCUGGAUCUCUCCAUGUAAUAGAGGGGGCGUGGAAGGGGCACAAGGCUAAAAGGAUGGAUCUUCCAGGAGAGGUGGGUUUAAGAAGCCUGAAUGAAGUUCUUCCCUGAAGGGUGCAUAUUUUCAGUCCAGACAUCCUGCUUCUCUCAGCCUAAGAGGCCUAGCACGUCUUCAGAUGCUUCUCCUUUGACCUUCAGGCCAUGCCUGGACCCUCUGCAGCCCGGUCUCCCACAUGUGUAGCAGCACCAGUAGGUGUGGCAGUCACUUCAGCCCUUGUCUCCUCCUCCAGAUGCUCCUGGAGGUGCCUGGCUCUUCUUGCCAGGACACCAGGAUGCUGACCAGGGACUCAG